GCCCUUUGGGUGGCUGCUGCAUUUAAAUGGCUACCGAGAAAAGGCAUGUGCUUGGAAGAUCCAUUGCAAAUGCUGCUCGACGGGGCUGGAGGGGCGCGGUCUGCAAACACUGUCCUGCUGAGCCUGUUCAGGGACGAAGGCUCAGGCUGGCAAAUAUUAGCCAAAAUGUCCUGCCGAUGGCAAAUGCUCUGGAGGCCGACAAACCCUGGUAUACAUUUUCAUCCUAGUGAUCCUGCAGACAGGUUUGUAUUUGACAAACUUGUGGUUUUCUGCUGAAAAAAAGGUUAAAUCUGAACACACCUGCCUGGCUGUGCUCAUCAGGCAUUUGCGGUUUAGCAGGAACCUGCUCUUUAUCGACCUGCGAUGACUGAAAUGACCAGGUCCACGGACACGCCGUCUUUGUGCCACCCUGACUGCCAGCACGAUUGCUCAGGCACUACGGCAAUCUUAAGGCAGCUUCAGAAACAUACAGAACAUAAUUAAUUAUUUGCAGGGGGAGGGAAAAAGACAACGCAUUCCCUGCGGGACAGCGGGGCCCCUUGAGCCUCCUCUGGGGAAAUCGACAAGGGAAAAAAAGUUCUCGGCCGGCGGUGAAGGGCACGGCCCCGGCCGGGCUCUCCCGGGAGAGGUGCCAGCGCUGGAGGCGGCCUUUGCCCCGGCACAAACAGCUCCUUCAUUAGCGGAGGGACGCGGAGCCGGGGGAAGGGGAGCCGCCGGCGGCCCCUGCGCGUCCCCCGGUAACGCGCUGCGGCUUCUCCCGCUCCGCUUCCCGGGAGGGCGGCUCUUCCAGGCGGGACCGGGGGCCUUCUCCUCACCAGGUAGGGACCUCUCUGGCUCUGCAUCCUGGAGAUGGCAGCACCCAAGGUGGCGGUGGUUGGCGCCGGAGUCGUCGGCCUGUCCACAGCACUGUGCAUCGCGGAGACUUGCCCCAGCUGCUCCGUGACUGUCCUUUCAGACCAGUUCAGCCCCAACACAACGAGCGAUGUCGCAGCCGGGAUGCUCAUCCCUCACACCUACCCAGGCACACCGAUCCACGUGCAGAAGCAGUGGUUCAAAGAGACCUUCACUUACCUUUUUGCCAUCAGCAACUCAGCCGAGGCAUCAGAGGCUGGCAUUCACCUCGUCUCUGGGUGGCAGGUCUUUAAAAACACUCCCAAGGAAGAGUUACCUUUCUGGUCAGACGUCGUCCUGGGUUUUCGAUCAAUGUCCGAAGCAGAACUCCAAAAGUUUCCGCAGCACCAAUUUGGUCAGGCCUUUACGACCCUGAAAUGUGACUGUCCGCCCUACCUGCUGUGGCUGGAGAAAAGGUUGAAAGCAACUGGCAUCCAGAUUUCCACCAGAAAAGUUGCAGACCUGUGGGAGCUGCACAGCGAAUAUAACAUCGUUGUCAACUGCGCGGGCAUUGGAGCCCAGCAGCUGGUGGGGGAUGAGAAGCUCUUCCCCGUCAGGGGACAAGUACUCAAGCUCCUUACAGGCAGUUUGCAUUUCAUUACCUUGAAUAAACUGGUAUCACCAGCAGUCCAAGCCACUUCACCAUUUACCGCCCGACUGAUGGCUUAUAUGUAUUAGCACUGGCCCUACUACAGAUCCUUCUCAGAUGUCAUUGGUGACUGCUCUCCACUGUGAAAAACAGGUGAUUUAUACUUACCUCCUCUCUCUAUCCUAUGUAGAGGAUGUGCAUUUGCUGACUCAUGAGAGGAUCUUCCCUCUUAUCCCACGCCAGAUCAGCUUCUUUAUGAAUCCUUGGUGACAGACGUUAUCAAAGGCUUUCCAGAAGCUGAGCAGAUCAGACCGAGUGGAUCGCUGUGGUCUGCAGUCUCACAGUUUCCUCUGAAGCCAUAGGAGAAUGGCACGGAAAAUGUAAAUAUUCUGAAAUAUCUCCAUAGAUACAUAGUGACGCUGCCCUGUGCCACCUCUAUACCUGCCCACAAAGGGGAGUCACAACGUUUCGAUGCCUGCAAGCUGGCUCGCUGACACUGCCCGCUUGGCUUUGAGGCCACUGAAGUCUGUUGAGAUGAGCCCUCUCUCGCUUCAGCUGCCCAGCCUCGGGUGUCAGUCUCUGCCGGUAUCUCAUCAGCCACCCCGAGUUUCUGCUCCUCACCCACGAGCCGUGCCAGGAGCUGAAGCAAAGAUGUGACCUGUGUUGUCUCCAGCUCCCGCCGAAGCUGAGCCAGCAGCUGAAGAAUUUGCAAAACUCCAUUUUGAUCCUAAAUCUGUCCAUGCUGUUGCGUCGGCUCCAUAGUCUUCAUCUGGAAACGCAGAGCAAGGGCCAGGGAAACACUUGCAUGCGGGAGAGGGUUAACAGUGGAAGGUCAUUAAACCUCCACGACUUUCUGUGCUGAUGAAAGGUGCCCUUAAAGAAAGACUUAGCUGUCACCUGUGCAAAGCAUUUUUAUCCCUGUGCCGUUUCUUAAGCCCAUGCAUGUCCGGACAGAAGGUAACCGGACCGCACUUGAGCAUUUCCUUCUUAUCCGCACUUUCUGAUCUACAUUGAAUAGGCACUCCCGGCAGAUGGCAACCGAUCUGUCAACACUCAUGGGGAACUUCAAAGGUGCAAUUAUGCCAUAGGAAGGGAACGAUUAUAUUUUGAGACGUUUCUAUCAAUCCUGACGAUUGCAGACGGCAGAUGGGCUGUAUGAUGGAUUUUAGAGCUUGAGCACAAAGUAAUAGUUUUCUGCAAAAGGGAAUUUUGUUGAUUUUCUUUGCAGAAACAAAUCCAUGAAGAUAUAUUGUCUCGAUAUAGGCUUUUGCCUAUAUUUAAAACAAAUUUGCCAAAUUUCUGAGAAAAUACAGGAAAAAUUGGUGAAUACCAUUCAUUGCAAUUCUUUUCUAGUCGAGUACUAUUUGAGGUAAACUUCCGUGUGAUACAUUCAAAUUCAUUUGGAAUAAAUGUAGCAGAGAAAAUCAUAGCCCAGACCGAGAUUCGUGUCGUUUUCGCAACUAUCUUAAAUCAAUGCGUAUGUUGUACGAGGCUUCAUUUCAUCCUGCUCUAUUCCCUAUUUUCCACCAGAGGGAGAUGUUGGAUCAAGCAGUUACUGAAAGAAACCCACCCCCCCCAACCCCUCCACACACACACGCACUCCGUCUCAAAGGGCCAGUGCGGUGAUGCUGAAAUCAGUGGAAAUGUGGGUGCCUGCCGGGCUCCCACGUACCUAUAAGGCUUGGAGGGCUUGGGUGCUGCAGUAGGGGUGAAGACAUAAUCGUGAAUCAAUUAGAACCGUAAAAUGUCAUUGGGAUGCUUAAAAAAAAAUAACAAAAACAAAAACCGCAAAAAAACAAACAUUGAAGAAACAGAAAUGUAAAGGUAGCAGCACACCGGAAACAGCUGUUAAUAAAAAUGAGGGAUUAUAAUCCUAGACAAAGCUGUUGCUAUAGCAGCAUGUCCCAGAGCUUUUCCCCCACUGUCUGGCUGGAAGGGAAACCACUGUCCUGGACAGCCAAGUGUCCUCAGUUCCUCGUGUUGUGGGGACUUGGGGUCCCCCAGCCCCUUGAGCUCUGCCUGGGCUAGGCAUCCCCCGGGGUUCUCUGCGGGGCUGCAGCCUGGCCGGUGGGCCUGAUGCCUGGCCAGGCUCCCAGGCAGCCCACACACCACUCUUGGGGGCUCAGGUAUUAGAAACUAUCGCUGUUUAAAGGCUGAUCUGAAAUGGUCUGUUUUCCUUCUGGGGAUUUCCUCCCCCCUUCCCCCCCAGUCUGUUUUUCUCAAUGAAGAAGUCAAAGUUACAUAUUUUGGAGGAUGGUGGACAUGAGUCAAAACUCAGCCUUAGGAGGAAAGGGAGCAGCUGGGGAGAAGAUGAAGAGGAUAAGAAACUUUGCUGAAAGUGAACAAUUUCCUAAAACUGGUAUUUCCCGGGAUUCAAGGGAAAAAGAUUCAAGGGAAACUUUUUCCUGUGUUUUGUUUUGCCUCUGAGACUGUCUCACACCACUGACAGCAGCUGGCACUAGGAGAGCACUGUCCCACGUUGCUUUCCUCUGUUCCUGUUCAUGUCCACUACCUACCAUGGGGGACAAUAUUUUUCUCACAUUGUAAGAGGUGUGUGCCACGUGCAUCAUAUGCUGUGCUCCUCUCACUGUCACCUCUGCUGCCUUUUUAUGUAACUUCAUCAAAGUCUCAGUCAACCCGUUGAUAUCUAAGCCUUACAUUAGCCUUUACUUACAUUUAUGAGCCAAAGAGGGGAGGGGAGGCUUGUUUAUUUUCUGUAUCACUGGAGAAUUAAGCAACCAAAGCCAACUGCAGGUGUUUCUGAAGCACCUGCAUAUGCACCUGCAGUCCACUUUUUGGCUAAAGUGAAGGUCUGGAAAACAGCCCUUCCCUCAUGGAAUGCACUAGAGCCACAGAGGGAUCCUCGUGCUUGCUUUCCUCUUCACCAAACGAGUGCAGGGUUGAGCUUCAAGGAGAUGAAGACUGUCCUGCCCACACGCCUCGCAGCCUGGUGAGACCAGCGGUCUCCAGGUCGGUGGAAGAGCUGGUCUCCUUUGAGCAUGCAAGGAACUGGAUUUGGGCUUCUUGCUUCCCAUAUCGCUCAGACAGUGGCUACAAGAAGAGCAAUCCCAGUUUUAAGUGUGCUUUGUAUAAAGAAGAUCCUUUUGAUUUUUGAAAGAAAGGGCCUGAGGCACUGAAAGUCCAGGAGAAGAUUGUGAGAAACAGUGGUUAGUGACAACAUAAUAUUUCCCUGCAACUGAGUUUUUGAAAGAGCUAGGUGAUUCCGUAGCAGUUCAGUAGGAUGACAGCUUGAGCACAGUCAAAGCAUAAGUUAAGAGACUUUGAGACAAACACUGGCUACCCCGCUUCUGAAAAUCCCUCCAUAAGCCUUGGUGGGCAAGGUCCAUGCCUUUUUUCCAUUUGGGGAGUGUAUCUGCACAGUGUCAGCACUCCAGGAAUAAUCACGGGGCGAAUUGCCACAGAGAUUUGCAGCAUGAUAAUUGCCUCAAACAGAAGGAUAAAUAGCUUUUUCUGGCAUUUAAUGGGCCUCUUAAGUGAACGGCAAUAAACUCUAUGCGAACAGAUGUUUUCCCUCUUUUUUCGUCCUCUUGCAUCUCAUCCAUAAUUAUGCACUAAAAUGUUCUUGUCUGGGUUGCUGAGAGCAAUCUUGCCGCUGUUUGUCUUUGCGGUGUAAGGCUGAGCACUUCAGCACAAAGACUGAGCAAAAAGCCCUCGGUUCCUAAAGGCUCCUGUCGCUGAACAUCAUCUUUCCUUUGCUUUAAACCAGAGGGAGGAGUAAGGAACUAGCGGGAAAAUUUGCCUCUUCCAGAUGCUGCUCUGGGUUUACCACCACCGGGGUCCCUCCCUGCCUUCCCCGGUGGCCUGGGCUCCAGCCAGGAGAUUCCUGUGCUCGCCUGCCUUCGGGCAUUGACCCAGCUACGGCUCAGAGUAGUUGCUUCUCUUUUGCCUUGAGAGGGUGGUAAGUGCCCUCUGAGACAGUCCUGCCUGCUCUGUGCUGCCUCUGCUACGCUGACAGGACCUCGGGGAGACAGCGGGGCAGGAUUUCCUCCAUAACCACCAGCUUUGCCUCCAGCCUUGCCACCGGGACAGUUGCAGGCACUAGGCAGGCUCUGCAAAGAGUCUUUGCGCUUUCAGAAGCAUGUGCUUUACCUCCUGACAAGAGUACAGAGAAAUGACCUUGUUCCUGAAGAAAUUCACUGCAUCCUGGCAAAGGGAUCUUCUCCUAGCAAGGGGCACGCAAGCAAGACGGGAGCUGGGGCACAGCCACAAGCAUUAGCCCAGCUGAGUGUUCAUCGCCUGGAGUGAUGCCUGCAGGGGUGCCUGCAUCUUCACAAACCCACUUCAUCCUUCCCAGUGCGUCUUCAAAGAGUCUGGCUGGCCUCUGCUUUCCAUGUCCACGGCUGAGGAUAGUGGCAGGGGGCUUACAGGAAGGAUGGGGAGGGACUCUUUAUCAGGGAGUGUAGUGACAGGACACAGGGUAAUGGUUUCAAACUGAAGGAGGGUAGAUUUAGAUUGGAUAUUAGGAAGAAAUUCUUUACUGUGAGGGUGGUGGGGCACUGGAACAGGUUGCCCAGGGAGGUUGUGGAUGCCCCAUCCCUGGAAGUGUUCAAGGCCAGGCUGGAUGGGGCUUUGAGCAGCUUGGUCUAGUGGGAGGUGUCCCUGCCCAUGGCAGGGGGGUUGGAACUAGAUGAUCUUUAAGGUCCCUUCCAACCUGAACCCUUCUAUGA